AACGAACGCUGGCGGCGUGGAUAAGACAUGCAAGUCGAGCGGGAACUUUCGCUGUAGCAAUACAGUGAAAGUUCUAGCGGCGAACGGGUGCGUAACACGUGGACAAUCUGCCUUAAAGUGGGGGAUAGCUCGGCGAAAGCCGAAUUAAUACCGCAUGUGAUGAGAGACGACAUCGUCUUGAAUUCAAAGCCGGGGCAACCUGGCGCUUUUUGAGGAGUCCGCGGCCAUCAGCUAGUCGGUGAGGUAACGGCUCACCAAGGCUAUGACGGGUAGCUGGUCUGAGAGGACGACCAGUCACACUGGAACUGAGACACGGUCCAGACACCUACGGGU
rnacentral:rRNA from 1 species